GCCGACUUAGCUCAGUUGGUUAGAGCACUAGAUUGUGGAUCUAGGGGUCGCCCGUUCGAGCCGGGCAGUCGGUACCA
rnacentral:tRNA from 1 species